GGGAAAGGAACGAAUAGAGUUCUUUCCUCUAGCUCUACGAGCUAUAAAUAAUAUUUAUUCCUAU
rnacentral:tRNA from 1 species